AUUGAACGCUGGCGGCAUGCUUUACACAUGCAAGUCGGACGGCAGCGGGGGUGCUUGCACCUGCCGGCGAGUGGCGAACGGGUGAGUAACAUAUUGGAAUGUACCGAGUAGUGGGGGAUAACCAAUCGAAAGAUUGGCUAAUACCGCAUACGUCCUGAGGGGGAAAGCAGGGGAUCUUCGGACCUUGCGCUAUUUGAGCAGCCAAUAUCUGAUUAGCUAGUUGGUGGGGUAAAGGCCCACCAAGGCGACGAUCAGUAGCGGGUCUGAGAGGAUGAUCCGCCACACUGGGACUGAGACACGGCCCAGACUCCUACGGGAGGCAGCAGUGGGGAAUUUUGGACAAUGGGGGCAACCCUGAUCCAGCCAUGCCGCGUGUCUGAAGAAGGCCUUCGGGUUGUAAAGGACUUUUGUUAGGGAAGAAAAGGGAAGUGCUAAUACCACUUUUUGCUGACGGUACCUAAAGAAUAAGCACCGGCUAACUACGUGCCAGCAGCCGCGGUAAUACGUAGGGUGCGAGCGUUAAUCGGAAUUACUGGGCGUAAAGCGAGCGCAGACGGUUACUUAAGCAGGAUGUGAAAUCCCCGGGCUCAACCUGGGAACUGCGUUCUGAACUGGGUAGCUAGAGUAUGUCAGAGGGGGGUAGAAUUCCACGUGUAGCAGUGAAAUGCGUAGAGAUGUGGAGGAAUACCGAUGGCGAAAGGCAGCCCCCUGGGAUAAUACUGACGUUCAUGCUCGAAAGCGUGGGUAGCAAACAGGG
rnacentral:rRNA from 1 species